rnacentral:tRNA from 1 species
GGCCGGGUGGCGUAAUUGGCAGGCGCUAGGGACUUAAAAUCCCUUGAUCUUAGAUCGUGCGGGUUCAAGUCCCGCCCCGGCUACCA